GAUGAACGCUGGCGGCGUGCCUAAUACAUGCAAGUCGAGCGAACAGACGAGGAGCUUGCUCCUCUGACGUUAGCGGCGGACGGGUGAGUAACACGUUGAUAACCUACCUAUAAGACUGGGAUAACUUCGGGAAACCGGAGCUAAUACCGGAUAAUAUAUUGAACCGCAUGGUUCAAUAGUGAAAGACGGUUUUGCUGUCACUUAUAGAUGGAUCCGCGCCGCAUUAGCUAGUUGGUAAGGUAACGGCUUACCAAGGCAACGAUGCGUAGCCGACCUGAGAGGGUGAUAGGCCACACUGGAACUGAGACACGGUCCAGACUCCUACGGGAGGCAGCAGUAGGGAAUCUUCCGCAAUGGGCGAAAGCCUGACGGAGCAACGCCGCGUGAGUGAUGAAGGUCUUCGGAUCGUAAAACUCUGUUAUUAGGGAAGAACAAAUGUGUAAGUAACUAUGCACGUCUUGACGGUACCUAAUCAGAAAGCCACGGCUAACUACGUG
rnacentral:rRNA from 1 species